UACGGAGGAUGCGAGCGUUAUCCGGAUUUAUUGGGUUUAAAGGGUGCGUCGGCGGGAUGCCAAGUCAGCGGUAAAAAUGCGGUGCUCAACGCCGUCGAGCCGUUGAAACUGGCGUUCUUGAGUGGGCGAGAAGUAUGCGGAAUGCGUGGUGUAGCGGUGAAAUGCAUAGAUAUUACGCAGAACUCCGAUUGCGAAGGCAGCAUACCGGCGCCCUACUGACGCAGAGGCACGAAAGCGUGGGUAUCGAACAGG
rnacentral:rRNA from 1 species